rnacentral:tRNA from 1 species
GAGGGUAUAGCUCAAGUGGAAGAGUACAUGCUUAGCAUGCAUGAGAUUCUGGGUUCAAGCCCCAGUACCUCCU